AGUCGGCCACGUGGCUGACUCUGAAGUAUGGGCCUUUAGAAAGAGGAGAGCUUUAGAGAAAGUGAAGUGAAUUUUGAAAAAAUCCAGGUCCUGAUCUCGGAAUAGCAAGCUGAAUAGCAACUAUGGCCAGGGCCUCUGUUAAAACACUGACCCCUGCAUUAAUUGGGCACAACCUCUUGGGUGCCUGCCUCUGAAGCUGAUUUGGGAUUUUCACUGUGAGGAUUCAUCAUCCCCUCAGCAGCUGGUGGACAGAGAAGACGGGGUACCAAGAGGCUGAGAGGUCAAAAUUUGUGGUUGCCAUGCGUUGGUCACUGGAGUUUGAAAUAACGUCCACUCUUCUGCUGCAAAAUCCAGGCAACUAAAGCCUCCUGGUGGAGCUCCAGCACAGCAAAGCCAAAGGAGCAGACACGGUCAACCCGUGGGAUUACAAUGCAAUAAAGGAGGAUGAACGUGUCCGGAAAACACCAGAAUGCGUCCAGACACCACCUUACUGGAAAUCAAUCCUCUCGGUCAGGCCCCCUGCGUGCUGGGUUUAAGUGGGAGUGAUGGCAGGAGAGAGUAAAGGAACAGACAGACAGCGAGGCGGGGGGAUCACAGGAAAGUGGCCGUGGUAGUGGGGGGCUGAUCAGCAGCAAACCACAGUGAGACAGGGAAGGCAGAACAUCUUCAGUCAGAGGCAUCUUCAGAUUCAGUGCAGUACAAACGGCUACAGAAAAUCUUUCCUGGCAAUAGCCAUCACCGUCUUCAAUAACUCUCUUAA